GAUGAGUGCCAUCGUUACGAUAUUAUUAUAUUUAUUCCUAUAAGCCACCUAAUAAGUAUGCAACCAGUUAUGCGUUCGUGCUUAGAACGGGUUACCUAGAUUUGUGACCAAAUAUAAUAGAAGGUUGGUACUACGCUUGGGGAAUUCUGGUCUUAGCUUGUGGCUGUACGGCUUCCGACGGAGGGGCAUGUCAUAUCGCCCAUCGGAGAGGAUUGUCACUUCAAUUUUCAAUCUGGUUGGAUGAACAAGUAAAUUUUUCCGUGGUCACUGUUUAAAGAAUACAAUAUUUAGUUAAAAUAUUCAUUUAUUAUAAGAUUGGUUUAUUUUGGAAGGAGCUAUUUUUUGUUUUGGGAUUUGUGCGGUGAGAGGAAGAGUUUUAUUUCCAAGUUUCCUUUUGGAAAACAGUGGCCACGGAAGAAAAUAAGAAGAUGGAAAAUUAAGUCAAUCAUACUUUAAUUUGUUUUUUUGGAAUACAUAAUCAUUUUGGGGAUAUUUUGGAUGGAAUGUGGAUGUUUUGUUUGGUUUUUGUGGAAUAAAAGUUGAGUUUUCCGAUACUGGGCAGCUACCUGCUUGCCGUACCUUCCUGUUGGUGUGGAGUACCUCCCUAGGGUUGGGAACCAGAGGAUACCUUAUUUGGCUCUCCCCUCAUCAUCUUCACCGAAGGUUGGAAGAAGCAAUCCGCCUACUUUUUGUAGGGACAGGUUUUUAUAUAACUAAAUUUGCAUGUCAAUUUGUUUUAAUAAUAACUUCCAAUUUUACUAUUUUUUUUCUCUUCGUAUCAAUAACUUUCAAAUCACUCUAAUAAUAAUAUACCCUCAUUGUUUUUCCUUAACCAUAAUUAACAUAAUAUUCAAUAUUUUCAACAAUUUUUAUUAUAUUUCACCCUUAUUUAAUUUAUUUAAAAUAGCCUGGGAUUUAUAAACCAUAUGUAAGAUAAUGUGCACAGUAUCUAGGUCAUAUCCUAUUUAAUAAUAUUUAUUCCAGUUGUCGGAUGUUGUCACCUCCGAUUAGAUACGGUAUUGUCAACCAAUAUUGUAACCCUCAUUAAUAAUAAGUUGUUAAGGUAAAUACUUAUUCAUACUAAAUUCAUUACAUAUUUUUUUUCUACUGUAAAACCUGCAUUAUCGACAGCAGUGUACUAGCCUAGUACGUCGGAUAAUUAGCUAGUGUAAAAAUUGUAUAUAGGGUAUAUAGGUUUUUUUUAUUAAAUGUGGUUGUACAUA